AGGCGGUUUUCAUUUCCCGCUCGUUUUCAUCCGCCGAUCGAAAAUUCUAACACUCCGAUCGAAAAUUCGCCGUUGUCGACUAUGGAUUUCACAGUGGUUAAUCAAUGCUAGUGCUUCAGAAAAACUUCAGACAACAAAACCUUCGCGCUUUCACAGGCUUGGCAACUUGGGGCCGACCUUAGGCGGGUGCCCUCUGAAGUCCAACGGAGGACACCAAGCCCAGCCAUGAGCCUUCUGAUCGUCCCAUUGACCCGUCCAUGUAAGGGUGAGAGAAGAACAAAGAUUGCUCCACUAGCAUUGAAGAACCAUCAAGUGAUGCAGAAAUCUAGCCUCAAAGACGACACGCCUCAUUUGGAAUCAUGUGAAUAUGGAACAUAACACGUUUUGAGCACAUCCAAGUCUAAUGUCGUCAUCAACUCUUUGAAUUGUCAUCUAAAUUGUCCAUUCUUGUGCGGGUUACUUGCAGUCCCAAGUCAUGAUGGAUAUGUUAAUCUAAACAAUCUUUCCGAAGAAAACAAAUGGAAUGUACAUUUGUUUUAUAAUCGUGGUGUUUGGGCCAGCUUGCGCAUACUUCGACGAAUUCCACGGGAUACCUGCUUCCUCCCACUAGCAACAGGUACCAGGUAACUCUAUCCACCAAGGCUUGCAUAGAUGAGAAAAAAUCACCUAGUGUUUUUGUCUCUGCUGAGAUUUGAACCUGAGACGUCAGAUUCUCAACCCGCUUCAUUGACCACUAGGCUACACCCUUGGGUGCUAGUAGAAUGUAUCUUUGUUGAAAUCCAGCUUCUUUUAUGUUACUUCUAAGAACGGUGCAUUUCUGUUGGAUCAGAGGUAAACCCAUGCUUCACAAAUGACUGAGUGUCUUUUUAAGAAUCAUGACCGUGAAUUCAAUUCCAAAUUCUUGCGCUGUUGUGCAUUAUCCACCUUUUACCUCUUCGUUAAUGCUGAUUUUGUUAUGAGACUGACAUUUCCACUUUUUUUCAUGGUAUCCCUUCAAUUAAAUGGGAAGAUUGCAUCUUAUUUCCCUGUUACUGACAAAUUGAGAAGUGGUGCAUGGUCAGACGUUUUUACCUUUCAAACAUUACUGUCAUACUCAUCACAUUUGAACCGGUAUCAUGCCUGUGCAGCCAAUCAAUCAGACCACUUGAAUAUUCCAUUUUGUUGGAUCAACAUUAGUUGUUGAUGGUUCCUUCUUUUCCCCGAAUUGGUUGUUGAUCCUUAAAGAUUAAUUUGUGCAUGUGUGGGUUGGUGCUUGUGAUUAUUGCUUGGAAUGAUAGAUCAUGUGACAUCUGAUCAUUGUGGAGGAGGAGCUUUGGUUUGCCUUAGGGAGAAAACUAGCACAUCUAUGUGUCGUUCAUUGUCAGUUCACCAUGUUCUAAAAGACCUUAUAACAAAAGGGUCUGACUCAGGAAUAAGCACUGUAUCCAACCUUUUAUCAUUUUCCAUACCAUGUGGGAAGCAUAUCAAAUUACAAAUUCACUGCCUUUUGUUAAAUGAAACUAUUCCAACUUCUUCGGUCCUAAGUCCUAACUGCUAAGUGCAUUUUUCUAUGCACGUUUUAUUAGUAGGUUUUAUUGGUUUAUUAACGUGGUUGAGGCUCUCCAGUUUCUUGAAAUACGGAUGACAGGGAUAAUCUACUCUAAUAUAUAGUUUUGCCUCCAAGAUAUUGUUGUUCAUUCAAUUACCUGCCUAAUAUGUCUUUAAUAUAUACUGGUGUUGCAGGUGAAUGUCUUUUUCAAUGCAUUUCCUAAGAUCAGCAAUUACUACGAGGAAAAAUCAUCUCUUCUUUCCAUUUCUGAGUGCAGAUUCAUGCAUCUUUCCCUGCAUUUCAAGGUAUUAAUUAGCUUAUUUUCCAAGUUUCCGUAAAAAGGUAAUCUCUGUUCUUGUUCAUGUCAAAUGCAUCACAAAGGCGAUGCUAAUGUCUGUUAAAUUAGAAGACUAAUUACUUCUCUCCCCACGGUUAGUCAGUUGGAACUUGGAAGUUUUUCUUGUACAUAUCUUUGCACGAUAUUUAGCAGCGAUUAUGAUAAAGGCAGUGAACAUCCAAACAGAUUAUUUGUCUCGGGUGGCAAAGACCAAUUUAGAGAUGACACAUCCUUGUCUAUGGUGCCAAGGAGUAUCUGGCGCUUGUAGCGAUGAGGAAGAGAGAGUCAUGUCUGUGCAGCUGAGGUAUUGUAUCUCUUAAAUAGUUAGAGCUGCUGUCAAUUUAUUUUGGAGUUCACUGGGUGUCAGUGGCGGAUGUAGAGUAUAGUUAAACCUAGUAACUUUUGCAGAAACUCUGUAUUUUUAUUAAAAAAUUCAUUAAAUAUCUAUAAAUAUAUAAAUGUAAACCCAGUUAUUAGUGUAUAUUAAUUUGAGAUUACAAUAAGAACCCAUAAACUUCAAACUCUUGGAUUCGCCUCUACUGGGUGUGAUAUCUAGGGUGCUUGUAUUGUCAUUUUGAGAGCAGUGAAUUAUGCCCCCCGGGCUAUGGUUCAGUAGUAAGAGUACAACGCAUGAAUUGUGAUAUGUGGGUUAGGUGCAUGGGACGAGUUCAAAUCCUGUCGCACUCAAAAGUCGGGUAUUUAAGUGGAGAGGGGUAGAGGGGCAGGCCCAUUACCCACUGAGUUUCAAACUGUGUGCCAGCUAGCUCACGGGAUUUUCUCUGUUAUCAAAAGGAGGUUUGACUAAGAAUGAUAACUUACGAUGUUGCAUUAUUGUUUUAUUGAUGGCCUUCUUUUAUGUUUGAUUAAGAAUCACUCCUAUGAACUGUAACUGCAAAAACGUCUCUGACUGUUUUAUUUUCAGCAUUCAGAAAUUUGAGUUUUGUAGUGCACUAAAUCCUUUCGAAGGAAAAGAGAGAAAAAAGUACUAACUUUUUGAUGUUUUACGUUGUGUUGAAUGUUACAAGAUAUGGUGUAGCUAGUGAACUUGACAACGUGAAUUUAUAAUAUUAUCAUCCAUUUAGUUAAAUAUGAAUGAAUUUUUAAGUGUGACUAGUAAGCUGUAUGGCAGAUCAAUUAUUCUUUGCUUCUUCUCUUCACCUUCUCAAGGAAAAAUGAAAGGAUUAGUUAUCUCCUAUAGCAAAGGUUGAUAUCUUAUUUAUUUUAAAUAAAUAUCCUUUUAAAAAAUUAUAUUUUAUAGCU